rnacentral:lncRNA from 12 species
AUGCAGCCCGUGCGUGACGGGGGUGAUGUUUUCUGUCCCCAACUUACCGGGGAGCGACGUGAGCGCGGGGAGCAGCGGAGCGUCUGGGGUCCCCGAAGGGGCAGGAGGCCGCUUGCCCGGCUGCUCCCGGCCACCCCUCCCGAGUGUGGACGCCGGGCAAGGAGGCUGGGGGCGUCUCUGCUCCCACCCGGUCACCACCUACCACUUGGUCAUGAGUCAUCGGCUUGUCUGCUCCAUCCCACCCAACGUGGGCGGGACCCCUGGCGGCCUGACAGGAGGCUCCAGCCCCUGGUCCCCGGAGGCUCUGGCACAGCCGCCCGGGUGUGGUGGGGCGAGGCCCGGCAAGCCCAGGCGGCGAGAGCUGCUGGAGUGCCGGCCUCCCGGCACCCCUGCGAGCCCCUCUCCCACUCGGUCUCUGGCUCCCGCACCUGCUCGGCCGGUGGGGGGGGNNNNNNNNNNGGGAGAGGCCGAGCAGGGGGCAGGACCUUCCGUCCCUCCAGCAUCAGAGCCCGGGGGCUCGGCAGUGUCCAGGCCCCCCCGCCCUCCCCACUGGGGAAGUCCCCCCCUGCCAUGUGCCCCGGGUCCUCGCACGCAGGGGACCUUACCGAGCGCGGCUCCUCAGGGCCCUCCACGCGGGCCGGCCCCGUCGGACCCAGCAGGGGCUGCGACUCACGGGAGCCGGAGGGACGGUGUGUCCCGCGGGCCGCCUGGGUGUGUCCGGCCUCGGAGGAGGAGCUGCCCCUGACACCGCCAUUGGCUGGGCCGCGGCUCCCGCACUGCCUCCGAGGAGGCCCAGGAGCCUUGGGGUUUGAGGCUCGGUCUCCCCGGGGUGCGGAGUCCGGAGUCCGCACCCUGUGGGGGGAGAACCGCAGGGCCACUCGGAGCCCCUGCUCGUCCUCUCGUCCCCGGCCGUGUGCGGGGGCAGCGGGGGCCCGACCUGCCUUCUCCUUCCCUAGCCCCUGGGAGUCCAGGGGCUGCGCCCGGGCCUCCCACCCCUGUCUCCAGCACGUGCGGCGGCGGCAUUCACGGCCCGUCCCGCGUGCCUUCCCCUCGCUGUUCUCAUCACCUGCUACUCCUCCAAGAAGCCUUCCCUGA